rnacentral:rRNA from 1 species
UACAGAGGUGGCAAGCGUUGUUCGGAAUUACUGGGCGUAAAGGGCGCGUAGGCGGCUUGGUCAGUCCCGUGUGAAAUCCCUCGGCUCAACUGAGGAACUGCACGGGAAACUGCCUGGCUUGAGUUCGGGAGAGGGAAGCGGAAUUCCGGGUGUAGCGGUGAAAUGCGUAGAUAUCAAGAGGAACACCUGAGGUGAAGACGGGUUGCUGGGCCGACACUGACGCUGACAGCGCGAAAGCCAGGGGAGCAAACGGG